rnacentral:rRNA from 1 species
UACAGAGGGGGCAAGCGUUGUUCGGAAUUACUGGGCGUAAAGGGCGCGUAGGCGGCCAACUAAGUCAGACGUGAAAUCCCUCGGCUUAACCGGGGAACUGCGUCUGAUACUGGAUGGCUUGAGUGUGGGAGAGGGAUGCGGAAUUCCAGGUGUAGCGGUGAAAUGCGUAGAUAUCUGGAGGAACACCGGUGGCGAAGGCGGCAUCCUGGACCACGACUGACGCUGAGGAGCGAAAGCCAGGGGAGCAAACGGG